rnacentral:lncRNA from 1 species
AGUGAUGAGAAUGUUAAGGUGGUAGUCAUGGUGAGGAUGGCUGAGAUGCUGAGGAUGACUGUCAUGAGUGAUGGAUGAGCAGAUGACGAUGUGGUGGAGGUGGUCAUGAGGUAUCUCCACAGAUAAAUCUUUAAGCAACUCUCUGGCCUGACAGCUUCCAAAGGAACAGAGUUUUCCCACCUCUCAGAAGUCACGAAGCAGGGUGGGCCCAUUCCGAGGUGGAGUGUGUAACAGCGUCGCUCACUGCAGAAGGAUUCCGUGAAUGUUAUGUUGAAAUUAA